GAGGUGGAAGGAUGGCGUGAGCUGAGGAGAUGGAGGCUGCAGGGAGCUGUGAUCAUACCACUGCACUCCAGCCUGGGUGACAGAGCAAGACCCUGUCUC
rnacentral:miRNA from 1 species